GUGGCGGGGGCAGUGUCGCUGCUGCUCCUUUGCUUCUCCUCGCUCUCCCUCACUCGUUGGCUCACUCACCGAGCUGGUUCCCGGCAGCAAGGGUAGAACCAGGACCCAGCCCAAUGGGAGCCCCCAGUGCCACAGUGGAUUAAACCGCCAAGCUGCUGAACUUGCCAUGUGUCCUGUCCUGAAGAGACCAUGUGUGAUUCAGAGAUAUCAAGGGGAGAGUGAAAGUGGAGGAUAAUCCUAUCCCCUGAUGUCACCAGCAUGCCUGCAGAGAAGUAGCUGGGAUCAUCGCACCAGAAGCAACCCACAAGGCUUUGUGUUGAGAUCUCUUCCAUUUCAUUUAAAUGGAUUGGACAAAAGGCUAAACUUCUGUCUCCAAAGAUAUGAAAAUGGCACCAUGAUCAGAGAGGUUAAUGAUACCAUGGCAGAUGUCAGAGAGAUGUGAGAAGAUUUUCAAAACCUUGGGCAAUAUGUAAAGCAGUGGCAUGCAGGAAGUUGGUGUCAGUAGCUGUAACGUCACUGCCCAGGAGGAAGCAACACAAGCGGCACAGGCAAUCGCGGAGUGUCUCUUCAAUUGUGGUAACAUGAAAAGGCAAGGAUGGAAGGGCAAGUUGAACAGACACAAAGCAAAGCAUUUGGGGCCAGUUUUUGACACCAUUGGAAUCAUGUCACUGUGCCCUGGAAAGAACCAUGUACACUGAUGGCACUAUAUAAAGAAACAAAUGAACCACAAGUGAUUGCUAGAAAAUUGGCUCUGAUCACAGGUAAGCAAUAACAUAUAAG